UUUAAAUAGUUCUGGAAAUGUAUUAUUGACUGUAAUAAAUUGACAUAAUUUGAUGCAAAUGUAUUUAAAGGUCUACUCGAACGAAACGGUCGAAUAAAAAUGUGCAAUAAAAAAAAACAUUUUGAAUUUUCAAUUGCAUCGAAUAUAUUUGGUCCUUGUGUUGAACACGAUGACUUCUUAAAGCUUUAAGUGUUUCAAUUCUUAGCGAAUAAACGCGAUUUCCAAAAGUUGGUAUUUUUGAAGUUACGGGGUAUUAUUCAUAUAAUUAAAUAUUCGUAUUAGUGAUAUAGUAAUUUAAGUUAAAUACGUAUAUUUAAAAUUGGGACAUAUUGGAAGCUGGCACUUGUUUUGAAGAAACCUUAAAGUUCAUAGGAACUUUAUUAUAAAAAUGAAAUUUAUAGGAACAUACAUUAUAAUCAGUUCCGAAAUUGUUCAUAUUAGAAGAAACACAGGCUUUUGACUAAAAAUCUUGAAGCGACUCAUUGUUAACACAUCGUCCUGUAUAUGAAAAGACGAAAUGAUAUUCAGUUGCCGGAUUUUUUUCGGUUUCAAGGUAUAAGUGAAUAAGUUUUCUCUUAACGCUGUCUUUCAUUAAACGUUUAAACUCCGAAAAGCGAACACAUUUCCAUUUGUACAAAAGCGUUGCACUGCCAUUAAUCAAUCACGAAGACUUGUGUUCUUGUUUAUGCAUCCAAAUGUCGGACUUGAACGGAAAUGUCGAAUAUUCGUCUUUAUACGAAAACUGAAGUUUCACGAUUUCGCUGAUUAUAAGAGAAAACCAGGAAUUUACACCGAGCUAAAUUUCUCAAGCAGUGCGCUUAAAUUUCGCAUCUAGCUUGCCAUACGGAACACUUCCUAAGGAGUUUUAAGACGGAUUAAGUAGCCGAGACAACAAUUAUUCUUGCUACAGUCAUUUAUGCAAAGCUGGACUGUAAAGUCUGAAUUCUCUUGUGCUCGAGUUUAAUAUCUUCUGGCGGAAAUAGCGAGUUUCGUGUUUACAUUUUAAAUUACAAUGGUGAAAUCUUGAAAGUUUUAACAUCUUCAUAAUUGGAUGACUCCCAGGUUGCUCUGUUUUGAGCGACGUCUUUUAGUUUCAUUGCUUAGAAUAGACGUUUGACCCACUGAGCUGGAAGAAAAUGCGGUUCAUCAAUACUUCAAAUACUUAAAUAAAUAAAGAAAGUUAAAUCUGGCGGAUGAUUUCAAAGUUGCAGAGGAGGCAAACAUGUUAAAAAUUGGUGCUAAUAGCUAGUUCUAAAGAUUACAACAAAAUUGCAGAAGCAGAUUUGCAAAACUAAACUUACUGGCUGAUAGAAAAAUGUGUUCCUGCUGAUGUCCAUGAACAUGAAUUUAUCUAUACAAUACAUUACUGCAGAGUGGUCCAAGUAUUCCUGAGCAAAUAUUUCUCAACGUCAGAAGGAAAUGCAUGCAUUAUUUCAGUGUUAGUUUAUUUGUAUCUAUUAUAAUUUGCUUUAGUUGCUACGCCAAUGCUGAACUGAUCUGAACUUGAAAAACUGUA